CAAACAUGAAUGCGAUGUUUGCAACAAAAAAUUUUCAGAUUCGAGCAGUUUAGUCCGACAUAAAAGAACACACACAGGAGACAAACCUUAUGAAUGUGAUGUUUGCAACAAAAGAUUUUCACGGUCUAGCAUCUUGGUGGUUCAUAAAAGAACACACACUGGAGACAAACCCUAUGAAUGUAAUGUUUGCAACAAAAGAUUUUCACGGUCUAGCAUCUUGGUGGUUCAUAAAAGAACACACACUGGAGACAAACCUUAUGAAUGUGAUGUUUGCAACAAAAGAUUUUUAAACUCUAGCAACUUAACGGUUCAUAAAAGAACACACACAGGAGACAAACCUUAUGAAUGUGAUGUUUGCAACAAAAGAUUUUCACGGUCUAGCAUCUUGGUGGUUCAUAAAAGAACACACACUGGAGACAAACCUUAUGAAUGUGAUGUUUGCAACAAAAGAUUUUCACAUUCGAGCUACUUAACGGUUCAUAAAAGAACACACACUGGAGACAAACCUUAUGAAUGUGAUGUUUGCAACAAAAUAUUUUCACAGUCGA